rnacentral:lncRNA from 1 species
GUCCUUUCUACCCAAUCAGCGUCGAGGAAAGAAGCGGGGGCGGGGCUGCGCCUGCGCAGUGACGGGUCCCUCAGGGCCUCGGCUGGAGCCCGCGGCGGUGGGGGCCUGUGGGGAGCGGGGCCCUCGGGCUCGGUAGUGGCCGUGCCUCCCCUGGACAGACCCCUCAGCUGCCCACAAGGGCGAGCUGUGGUGGGGGAUUGGGUGUUGCCUGCAGUCAUGGGCCUGGCAGCGCCUCUGAGGCAAAAGGACGUUACCGGUGCCACAGGUUUUCCAUCUGGUGUUACUCCUUCCUGCACGCCAAGCAUUUUUGUGAGCGUGAGUUGCUGGCGAAAUCAAAAUUCCAGAGUGGAACAUGGAGCUGAAAUUUACUUUUAAGGAUGGAAAACACCUGAAGAGCCUCCCUCGGUGUAAGCGCUGCCGUGCCGUUUGCAUAGAGCUCUUUCUGUGCAUAUGGAUUCUAUAUGUGGGGUGUGUCACAUAACGAGUGAGACAAGAUACUCACACCUCUAAUUGUAAAACGUUAAAUUGCAGCCUAACAAUUUCUGAUAAACUUUUUCAGGGUCUGGUUUCAAACUUUUUUUUUAUUCAGUCAGACUUUCUCCUGAGUAUCUCUUGCCCUCCUCUUUUGUGGCUGGGCAGCUACACGAAAUGGAAUCAACACAGUUGCUUGAGUAUAGUUAUUUUCUUCUGUAAAAUACAUCUGAAAACUUUUCCCAUUGAAUUUAAAUUUGUUUGGGUUUUUAUGUUUUCACAGGUAGCAAAUGGGAGGUUCUCAAAAACACGGGGCAGAGGAAAUAGGGCUUUUAUUUCAAUAAACUUGCAGAGAGCUGUAUUGAAAUGGCUUCG